rnacentral:rRNA from 1 species
UGGUGGGGUAACGGCCCACCAAGCCGAAGAUCCGUACGGGCCAUGAGAGUGGGAGCCCGGAGAUGGACCCUGAGACACGGGUCCAGGCCCUACGGGGCGCAGCAGGCGCGAAACCUCCGCAAUGCGGGAAACCGCGACGGGGUCAGCCGGAGUGCUCGCGCAUCGCGCGGGCUGUCGGGGUGCCUAAAAAGCACCCCACAGCAAGGGCCGGGCAAGGCCGGUGGCAGCCGCCGCGGUAAUACCGGCGGCCCGAGUGGCGGCCACUUUUAUUGGGCCUAAAGCGUCCGUAGCCGGGCUGGUAAGUCCUCCGGGAAAUCUGGCGGCUUAACCGUCAGACUGCCGGAGGAUACUGCCAGCCUAGGGACCGGGAGAGGCCGGGGGUAUUCCCGGAGUAGGGGUGAAAUCCUGUAAUCCCGGGAGGACCACCUGUGGCGAAGGCGCCCGGCUGGAACGGGUCCGACGGUGAGGGACGAAGGCCAGGGGAGCGAACCGGAUUAGAU